AGUGAACGCUGGCGAUAGGCCUAACACAUACAAGUCGAACGGCAGCACAGUAAGAGCUUGCUCUUACGGGUGGCGAGUGGCGGACGGGUGAGGAAUACAUCGGAAUCUACUUUUUCGUGGGGGAUAACGUAGGGAAACUUACGCUAAUACCGCAUACGACCUACGGGUGAAAGCAGGGGAUCUUCGGACCUUGCGCGAUUGAAUGAGCCGAUGUCGGAUUAGCUAGUUGGCGGGGUAAAGGCCCACCAAGGCGACGAUCCGUAGCUGGUCUGAGAGGAUGAUCAGCCACACUGGAACUGAGACACGGUCCAGACUCCUACGGGAGGCAGCAGUGGGGAAUAUUGGACAAUGGGCGCAAGCCUGAUCCAGCCAUACCGCGUGGGUGAAGAAGGCCUUCGGGUUGUAAAGCCCUUUUGUUGGGAAAGAAAAGCAGCAGGUUAAUACCCCGCUGUUCUGACGGUACCCAAAGAAUAAGCACCGGCUAACUUCGUG
rnacentral:rRNA from 1 species